rfam:Dipodomys ordii contig_714, whole genome shotgun sequence.
GGGAAUGUGGCUUAGUGGUAAAGUGCUUGCCUAGCAUGCAUGAAGCCCUGGGUUCAAUUUCUUAGUACCA